AGAGUUUGAUCCUGGCUCAGAACGAACGCUGGCGGCAGGCCUAACACAUGCAAGUCGAACGAUGAAGGCUCUAGCUUGCUAGAGCUGGAUUAGUGGCGCACGGGUGAGUAACACGUGGGAAUUUGCCCUUAGGUACGGAAUAGCCCCGGGAAACUGGGAGUAAUACCGUAUGAUGUCUACGGACCAAAGAUUUAUCGCCUAAGGAUAAGCCCGCGUCGCAUUAGCUAGUUGGUGGGGUAAUGGCCUACCAAGGCGACGAUGCGUAGCUGGUUUGAGAGGAUGAUCAGCCACACUGGAACUGAGACACGGUCCAGACUCCUACGGGAGGCAGCAGUGAGGAAUAUUGGACAAUGGGCGCAAGCCUGAUCCAGCCAUGCCGCGUGAGUGAAGAAGGCCUUAGGGUUGUAAAACUCUUUCAGAUGGAAAGAUAAUGACGGUACCAUCAGAAGAAGCCCCGGCUAACUUCGUGCCAGCAGCCGCGGUAAUACGAAGGGGGCUAGCGUUGUUCGGAAUCACUGGGCGUAAAGCGCACGCAGGCGGAUCAUUAAGCUAGGGGCGAAAUCCCGGGGCUCAACCUCGGAACUGCCUUUAGAACUGGUGAUCUAGAGUCCGGAAGAGGAUGGUGGAAUUCCUAGUGUAGAGGUGAAAUUCGUAGAUAUUAGGAGGAACACCAGUGGCG
rnacentral:rRNA from 1 species